ACACAAUGCAAGUAUUGAAUCUGUAAGGCAGGAAAUGCAGUCUUUGCAUCCAGAUGACUCGCAAAUUGUAGUUUUAAAGCACAAUGUUUGGCGUGUGAAGGGUAUUAUACAAAUCACAAGAUCCAUUGGUGAUGUGUACUUAAAGAAAGCUGAAUUCAACAGGGAACCGUUGUACGCUAAGUUUCGGCUCCGUGAAUCAUUUCAAAGGCCCAUAUUGAGCGCAGAUCCAGCUAUUUUGGUGCACCCGGUACAACCUCAGGAUCAGUUUAUUAUAUUUGCCUCGGAUGGUCUCUGGGAGCACCUAAGUAACCAAGAUGCUGUUGACAUUGUACAAAAUCACCCACGCAAUGGGAUUGCGAAAAGGCUAGUAAAAACUGCAUUGCAAGAAGCAGCAAAGAAAAGGGAGAUGAGGUACUCAGACUUGAAGAAAAUUGAUCGUGGAGUACGUCGACAUUUCCAUGAUGACAUCUCCGUUGUGGUAAUAUUCCUCGACUCAGAUUUUGCGAGCAGGGCUAGCUCUGGGAAGGUACCAAACGUAUCUGUAAAAGGUGGCGGGAUAAGUCUGCCUCGAAACACACUUGCCCCAACCUAAUCGUGGUGCGUGUGACUCGAUGAAGCUCUCUUUCAAAUGAUGUUGUACUAUUUUCUUGUGAAUACCAGGUAGCUUCUGAAAAGAUAACAGCAGGCCUGCAAUUUUAAUUUUCUUUUAAAAAAUUAAUGUACACCUUAGUUUAACUUGAGACUAAUACAAAUUUAGUUCCUAUGCUCAAGGGACUUGAAAAAAAGAGAUCUACACCAUUAGGCUUCUUUUGCUUCCUCUCAAACCUUUUUUCAUUUGGAUUUUGUAAAUUAUGUGACCUU
rnacentral:misc_RNA from 1 species